rnacentral:lncRNA from 1 species
CCACACAGGUGGGACCGUGGCCCGUUUGACCCCGGAGCCCUGGCACGCGAUCCAGGCUGAGGUCACGAGUGUCGAAGUCAUGGGAGUAUUCUGACGUCAGACGGCGCAACAGCGGCGACACGGUGCCCGGGGUGACUGCCCUGUGAAGACACGGUGCAUCUUACAUUGUGUCCAGGAAUGGAAUCCAGAGACCGGCACCACCAACUGGAAGAGGGACAGGGACGCAAUAGGACGAUCCUGGCAGAGCCUAGAGGUGAUGUUUUUCCGAUGAUUUUUGAGAAAUAGACAUU